CGUUGGAAGCGUGUGCCUCCUGCUGGCAUCGUCCGGCUAGUGAUCCAUAUCAAGUGUAGCAAGAAUACCUCCGGCAUCAACAGCGUUAGCCGCGUACGCCGUACACCUAGGAGUUACUAUCGUUGAACAGCUAAAUUGAGCGAUUUCUGCUGCUGUUUCGUUCGCAAACUACGUAUAUACGUUUCCUAUUGUUUUGGUAAGAGUUUUUCGUUAAUUUUCGCUUCCUAGAUUAAGUUGGGAUCGGUUGAUCAUGAAGGAUUAGGACGCGCGCUGCAAUGUGAUGAUGGUACUUUUUUUCCGUGUAGAACUACUAUAUUUUUAACUUUUAUACGAAUAGGUGCUUAUUUAUCGAAAGUUUAUUAUAGGCAACGACUUUGGUCUGGCA